rnacentral:rRNA from 1 species
UAGGGAAUCUUCGGCAAUGGGGGGAACCCUGACCGAGCAACGCCGCGUGAGUGAAGAAGGUUUUCGGAUCGUAAAGCUCUGUUGUUAAGGAAGAACGAGUGUGAGAAUGGAAAGUUCAUACUGUGACGGUACUUAACCAGAAAGGGACGGCUAACUACGUGCCAGCAGCCGCGGUAAUACGUAGGUCCCGAGCGUUGUCCGGAUUUAUUGGGCGUAAAGCGAGCGCAGGCGGUUAGAUAAGUCUGAAGUUAAAGGCAGUGGCUCAACCAUUGUAGGCUUUGGAAACUGUUUAACUUGAGUGCAGAAGGGGAGAGUGGAAUUCCAUGUGUAGCGGUGAAAUGCGUAGAUAUAGGGAGGAACACCGGGGGCGAAAGCGGCUCUCUGGUCUGUAACUGACGCUGAGGCUCGAAAGCGUGGGUAGCAAACAGG